GAUGAACGCUGGCGGCGUGCUUAACACAUGCAAGUCGAACGGAAAGGCCCAAGCUUGCUUGGGUACUCGAGUGGCGAACGGGUGAGUAACACGUGGGUGAUCUGCCCUGCACUUCGGGAUAAGCCUGGGAAACUGGGGCUAAUACCGGAUAGGACCACAUUCUGGAUGGUGUGGUGGAGAGUUUUUCGGUGUGGGAUGAGCUCGGGGCCUAUUAGCUGGUUGGUGGGGUAGUGGCUUCCCACGGGGGCUAGGGGUAGUCGCCGGGAGGGGGGGACGGGCGACAUGGGACUGAGAAAAGGCCCAGAACCCGACGGGGGGGAGGAGUGGGGGAGAUUGAAAAAAGGGGGCAAGGCUGGUGGAAGGACGCCGCGGGGGGGAUGACGGGCUUCGGGUUGUAAACUCCUUUCGCUAGGGAAGAAGCGUUAUGUGACGGUACCUGGAGAAGAAGCACCGGCUAACUACGUG
rnacentral:rRNA from 1 species